rnacentral:rRNA from 1 species
GGAUUAGGCAUGCAAGUCGAGCGGGGUACCUUCGGGUACUCAGCGGCGAAAGGGAGAGUAACGCGUGGAUCACCUGCCCCCAGGUCUGGGAUACCGCGGCACAACCGCAAGCAAUACCAGAUAAUGUCUAAGGACCAAAGGUGUGAUUUCGCCUGGGGAUGGGUCCGCGUCCUAUCAGCUAGUUGGUAAGGUAACGGCUUACCAAGGCAUAGACGGGUACGGGGUGUGAGAGCAUGCCCCCGCUCACUGGGACUGAGACACUGCCCAGACACCUACGGGUGGCUGCAGUCGGGAAUCUUCGGCAAUGGGCGAAAGCCUGACCGAGCGAUGCCGCGUGCGGGAUGAAGGCCCUCGGGUUGUAAACCGCUGUCGUAGGGGAGAAAGGACCGUUGAAGAGACGGUUUUGAUCUAUCCUAGGAGGAAGUCCGGGCUAAGUUCGUGCCAGCAGCCGCGGUAAUA